CACACCAGUUCUUCUCCGAUCACCGAACUUAAGCAUCGCCGAGCCUGAUCAGUACCAAGAUGGGUGACCGCUUGGGAAUACCAAGUACUGUAAG